AUUGAACGCUGGCGGCAGGCCUAACACAUGCAAGUCGAGCGAGCGGCGGACGGGUGAGUAAUGUAUGGGGACUGCCCGAUAGAGGGGGAUAACUACUGGAAACGGUGGCUAAUACCGAAUACUAGCGGAUAACCCAUAUGGGAUUAGCUAGUAGGUGGGGUAAAGGCUUACCUAGGCGACGAUAUCUAGCUGGUCUGAGAGGAUGCUCAGCCACACUGGGACUGGGAAACGGCCCAGACUCCUCCGGAGGCAGCAGUGGGGAAUAUUGCACAAGUGGCGCAAGCCUGAUGCAGCCAUGCCGCGUGUAUGAAGAAGGCCUUAGGGUUGUAAAGUACUGUCAGUGGGGAGGCGUUACCCGCAGAAGAAGCACCGGCUAACUCCGUGCCAGCCGCCGCGGUAAUAC
rnacentral:rRNA from 1 species